GAUGAACGCUAGCGGCAGGCCUAAUACAUGCAAGUCGAACGCGGGGUAGCAAUACCUCGAGUGGCGCACGGGUGCGUAACGCGUAACCAACCUGCCCUUGACUGGGGGAUAGCCCGCCGAAAGGCGGAUUAAUACCGCAUAAACCAGCAGCCUGGCAUCAGGCAACUGGUAAAGAUUCAUUGGUAAAGGAUGGGGUUGCGUGACAUUAGCUAGGUGGCGGGGUAACGGCCCACCAAGGCGACGAUGUCUAGGGGACCGGAGAGGGUGAUCCCCCACACUGGCACUGAGAUACGGGCCAGACUCCUACGGGAGGCAGCAGUAGGGAAUAUUGGGCAAUGGGCGAGAGCCUGACCCAGCCAUGCCGCGUGCCGGAUGAAGGCCUUCUGGGUUGUAAACGGCUUUUCUCAGGGAAGAAAACGACCAUGCGUGGUACACUGACGGUACCUGAGGAAUAAGCACCGGCUAACUCCGUGCCAGCAGCCGCCGUAAAAC
rnacentral:rRNA from 1 species